GACGCACGCUGGCGGCGUGCCUAAUACAUGCAAGUAGAACGCUGAAGGAGGAGCUUGCUUCUCUGGAUGAGUUGCGAACGGGUGAGUAACGCGUAGGUAACCUGCCUGGUAGCGGGGGAUAACUAUUGGAAACGAUAGCUAAUACCGCAUAAUAGUAGAUGUUGCAUGACAUUUGCUUAAAAGGUGCAAUUGCAUCACUACCAGAUGGACCUGCGUUGUAUUAGCUAGUUGGUGAGGUAACGGCUCACCAAGGCAACGAUACAUAGCCGACCUGAGAGGGUGAUCGGCCACACUGGGACUGAGACACGGCCCAGACUCCUACGGGAGGCAGCAGUAGGGAAUCUUCGGCAAUAGACGGAAGUCUGACCGAGCAACGCCGCGUGAGUGAAGAAGGUUUUCGGAUCGUAAAGCUCUGUUGUAAGAGAAGAACGAGUGUGAGAGUGGAAAGUUCACACUGUGACGGUAUCUUACCAGAAAGGGACGGCUAACUACGUG
rnacentral:rRNA from 1 species